GUGGAAGUGAUGAUUAUUUCCCCAAAUGAUCGAAGCUGAUUAUAAUUGUGCUACUUUUUUCAGAAUCCAA